AUUGAACGCUGGCGGCAUGCCUUACACAUGCAAGUCGAACGGCAGCACGGGAGCAAUCCUGGUGGCGAGUGGCGAACGGGUGAGUAAUGUAUCGGAACGUACCUUUCAGUGGGGGAUAACGUAGCGAAAGUUAUGCUAAUACCGCAUAUUCUGUGAGCAGGAAAGCAGGGGAUCGCAAGACCUUGCGCUGAUUGAGCGGCCGAUAUCAGAUUAGCUAGUUGGUGAGGUAAAGGCUCACCAAGGCGACGAUCUGUAGCGGGUCUGAGAGGAUGAUCCGCCACACUGGAACUGAGACACGGUCCAGACUCCUACGGGAGGCAGCAGUGGGGAAUUUUGGACAAUGGGCGCAAGCCUGAUCCAGCCAUGCCGCGUGAGUGAAGAAGGCCUCGGUUG
rnacentral:rRNA from 1 species